rfam:Flavobacterium succinicans strain DD5b FLB_contig000053, whole genome shotgun sequence.
UUUUAGCCCCGAUAGCAGUGGCAUCCUCUGGACUCGCGAACGAGCGAGGACAGAGAUAUAACGGAGAGCGGGAACCAUA